rnacentral:lncRNA from 1 species
AAUGAAGAAUUGUUCGUGCGUGUGUUGUUGUUGCAAUUCACUUCUUCUAUUAUAUAAUACUGUAAAAAGAGUCGUUACAACAGACCGUUGAUGAAGAUAACCUUUUGUCUUCAUGUAUCUGUCUUGAUGCAGUUUGGAUGUUACUAAAACUAAACAAGAGUUUCAGUAACUUUGACCAGGUGCAGAGAAGACUUUCCUUAUUAAGCUAAGAAGCCAGACAAGUCACGUUCUCCCUUAAGGACAGGCAAAAUGUAAGAAGCUGUUCUAAUCAAGGUUGAAGGGUCCUUUUCUUCAUUGGUAAAAGAGUUGACCUUCAAAUACGAAUCUUCACACAACCCAAGAUAUACAUCAGAGUUUGAUUAACUUCAAACUUUAACAAGUCCUGAUGUCUUCAUCCUCUGAUGCACAUAACUUCUGAAGAUCCUUAUCCUCUGAGUUCCUGAGAAACUCUGAGAAUUAACUUCUGAGCUUUCUUUAGAGCUUGCCUGUAUAUAAGUUCUGCACACUUAAAAUAAAUUUUUAGUAUCUCCAAUUGUACAUUUAAUACUUUGUUAUCAUCAAAACCUUAAUGGAUUUAGGGGCAACAAUUUUAAAUCAAUUUUGUUCCAACACUUAUGUCACCUACCGGUUACUCGCGCGUCUUACGCGUGUUCCAUUUUACCCUUCCGCUAGUUAAGUAGCAGACGUUAUAAAAAUGAAAAAUUUUGACGAAAAAACACCCUGCCAAGAUUUUU